UACGUAGGGGGCAAGCGUUGUCCGGAAUCAUUGGGCGUAAAGCGCGCGUAGGCGGCCCGGUAAGUCCGUUGUGAAAGUCAAAGGCUCAACCUUUGAACGCCGAUGGAUACUGCCGGGCUAGAGUCCGGAAGAGGCGAGUGGAAUUCCUGGUGUAGCGGUGGAAUGCGCAGAUAUCAGGAGGAACACCGGUGGCGAAGGCGGUUCUCUGGGCCUUACCUGACGCUGAGGAGCGAAAGCGUGGGGAGCGAACAGG
rnacentral:rRNA from 1 species